UACGUAGGUGGCAAGCGUUGUCCGGAAUUAUUGGGCGUAAAGCGCGCGCAGGCGGUCCUUUAAGUCUGAUGUGAAAGCCCACGGCUCAACCGUGGAGGGUCAUUGGAAACUGGGGGACUUGAGUACAGAAGAGAAGAGUGGAAUUCCACGUGUAGCGGUGAAAUGCGUAGAGAUGUGGAGGAACACCAGUGGCGAAGGCGACUCUUUGGUCUGUAACUGACGCUGAGGCGCGAAAGCGUGGGGAGCAAACACG
rnacentral:rRNA from 1 species